ACCUUCUCCAAACCAAGUCCCACAAUAACAACAACCUGCUCCUCUUCUCCCUCUGGUUCAAGAUCGGCCAAGCGACACCCCCCCCCCAUCUCGAUCUAUACUGCAAUCACACACAUGAAAUCAGAAUCAUAACCAUCUCUCAACACAGUCGCACCCACUAUGUCUCUUCUGUUUCUCUGGUCGUCAGAGAAGAAUCAUAGGUGGCACCUCCGGCCACCACACACCUCGGAACCGGACUCGAGCAAGAGGGAAAGUUCUCGGUCAGGAAGAGAGAGGAACUGUGGAGAGAGGAAGCUGGUUUGGAGAGAGAGGCGGCGGCGGUGGUGGCCGGCGAUAGUGAUGCUGGUGACGAAGGAGGGUGGAGAUGAUGAUGGUGUUUGACCGGUGAGCCGUGGCCGAUGGCGACGGAGAAGGAGCGGGUGCUUCGAUGAACCUCCGACAGGCCCGGGGGUUUCAGUGAUUAUCUUCUUGUUUCGGGCCGUUGCUCGGAUUGUUGAAGAUGAUGAUGAUUUGUUGCCGAUGGUGAUGUCAGUGGUGGUGUUUUAUGGUGGCAGCACGGGUUGGGUUCACGACAGGUACGGCUCAAGUGGAUUUCAUGACAGUGGUGGUUAUUGUCGGUAACUCAUUCAGGUUUCGGUUCCGGGUCAACCGCGUCAACAAAGCAGGUUGACCAGUCAACGAAAGUCAACUGGUCAGCCGUGGUUCGAGUCAAGAUUUCCGUUCGGGUUCGGUUCGAUGAGUCAGAUCUUGGUUUGGUUCAACAGGUUCGGUUCGAUGAUCAGGUUCGCGACUCGGUCAGCGGGUCAAAGCAGUCAACAGAAUGGUUCGGGUUCGCGACUCGGUCAAACCGAGUCAACUCGGUCAAUAAAUAAUUUCGUUAUUUCUAUAGUUUAUAAUACGUGAACCAAGCUCAAACCAAAUCGUUAGUGACUUAUUA